rnacentral:rRNA from 1 species
UACGUAGGGCGCAAGCGUUGUCCGGAAUUAUUGGGCGUAAAGAGCUCGUGGGCGGUCUGUUGCGUCCGCUGUGAAAACUCGGGGCUUAACCCCGAGCCUGCAGUGGAUACGGGCAGACUGGAGGUAGGUAGGGGAGAGUGGAAUUCCCGGUGUAGCGGUGAAAUGCGCAGAUAUCGGGAGGAACACCAGUGGCGAAGGCGGUUCUCUGGGCCGUACCUGACGCUGAGGAGCGAAAGCGUGGGGAGCGAACAGG